AUUGAACGCUGGCGGCAAGCUUAACACAUGCAAGUCGAACGAUGAAACUCUAGCUUGCUAGAGAAGAUUAGUGGCGGACGGGUGAGUAACAUUUAGGAAUCUGCCUAGUAGUGGGGGAUAGCUCGGGGAAACUCGAAUUAAUACCGCAUACGACCUACGGGUGAAAGGGGGCGCAAGCUCUUGCUAUUAGAUGAGCCUAAAUCAGAUUAGCUAGUUGGUGGGGUAAAGGCCCACCAAGGCGACGAUCUGUAACUGGUCUGAGAGGAUGAUCAGUCACACCGGAACUGAGACACGGUCCGGACUCCUACGGGAGGCAGCAGUGGGGAAUAUUGGACAAUGGGGGCAACCCUGAUCCAGCCAUGCCGCGUGUGUGAAGAAGGCCUUUUGGUUGUAAAGCACUUUAAGCAGGGAGGAGAGGCUAAUGGUUAAUACCCAUUAGAUUAGACGUUACCUGCAGAAUAAGCACCGGCUAACUCUGUGCCAGCAGCCGCGGUAAUACAGAGGGUGCGAGCGUUAAUCGGAAUUACUGGGCGUAAAGCGAGUGUAGGUGGCUCAUUAAGUCACAUGUGAAAUCCCCGGGCUUAACCUGGGAACUGCAUGUGAUACUGGUGGUGCUAGAAUAUGUGAGAGGGAAGUAGAAUUCCAGGUGUAGCGGUGAAAUGCGUAGAGAUCUGGAGGAAUACCGAUGGCGAAGGCAGCUUCCUGGCAUAAUAUUGACACUGAGAUUCGAAAGCGUGGGUAGCAAACAGGAUUAGAUACCCUGGUAGUCCACGCCGUAAACGAUGUCUACUAGCCGUUGGGGUCCUUGAGACUUUAGUGGCGCAGUUAACGCGAUAAGUAGACCGCCUGGGGAGUACGGCCGCAAGGUUAAAACUCAAAUGAAUUGACGGGGGCCCGCACAAGCGGUGGAGCAUGUGGUUUAAUUCGAUGCAACGCGAAGAACCUUACCUGGUCUUGACAUAGUGAGAAUCUUUCAGAGAUGAGAGAGUGCCUUCGGGAAUUCACAUACAGGUGCUGCAUGGCUGUCGUCAGCUCGUGUCGUGAGAUGUUGGGUUAAGUCCCGCAACGAGCGCAACCCUUUUCCUUAUUUGCCAGCGGGUUAAGCCGGGAACUUUAAGGAUACUGCCAGUGACAAACUGGAGGAAGGCGGGGACGACGUCAAGUCAUCAUGGCCCUUACGACCAGGGCUACACACGUGCUACAAUGGUAGGUACAGAGGGUUGCUACACAGCGAUGUGAUGCUAAUCUCAAAAAGCCUAUCGUAGUCCGGAUUGGAGUCUGCAACUCGACUCCAUGAAGUCGGAAUCGCUAGUAAUCGCAGAUCAGAAUGCUGCGGUGAAUACGUUCCCGGGCCU
rnacentral:rRNA from 1 species